rnacentral:rRNA from 1 species
AUUGAACGCUGGCGGCAGGCCUAACACAUGCAAGUCGAACGAGUGGCGGACGGGUGAGUAAUGUCUGGGAAACUGCCUGAAGGAGGGGGAUAACUACUGGAAACGGUAGCUAAUACCGCAUACCAUCAGAUGUGCCCAGCUGGGAUUAGCUUGUGGGGGGGGUAACGGCUCACCAAGGCGACGAUCCCUAGCUGGUCUGAGAGGAGGACCAGCCACACUGGAACUGAGACACGGUCCAUAAUCCUACGGGGGUCAGCAGUAGGGAAUAUUGCACAAUGGGCGCAAGCCUGAUGCAGCCAUGCCGCGUGUAUGAAGAAGGUCUUCGGGUUGUAAAGUACUUUCAGCGGGGAGGGGUUACCCGCAGAAGAAGCACCGGCUAACUCCGUGCCAGCAGCCGCGGUAAUAC